GUGAAAAUGCGUAGAUGAUCUGGAGGAAUACCGGUGGGCGAAAGGCGGCCCCCUGGACAAAGACUGACGCUCAGGUGCGAAAGCGUUGGGGAGCAAACAGGAUUAGAUACCCUGGUAGUCACGCCGUAAACGAUGUCGACUUGGAGGUUGUGCCCUUGAGGCGUGGCUUUCCGGAGCUAACGCGUUAAGUCGACCGCCUGGGGAGUACGGCCGCAAGGUUAAAACUCAAAUGAAUUGACGGGGGCCCGCACAAGCGGUGGAGCAUGUGGUUUAAUUCGAUGCAACGCGAAGAACCUUACCUACUCUUGACAUCCAGAGAACUUAGCAGAGAUGCAUUGGUGCCUUCGGGAACUCUGAGACAGGUGCUGCAUGGCUGUCGUCAGCUCGUGUUGUGAAAUGUUGGGUUAAGUCCCGCAACGAGCGCAACCCUUAUCCUUUGUUGCCAGCGGUUCGGCCGGGAACUCAAAGGAGACUGCCAGUGAUAAACUGGAGGAAGGUGGGGAUGACGUCAAGUCAUCAUGGCCCUUACGAGUAGGGCUACACACGUGCUACAAUGGCGCAUACAAAGAGAAGCGACCUCGCGAGAGCAAGCGGACCUCAUAAAGUGCGUCGUAGUCCGGAUUGGAGUCUGCAACUCGACUCCAUGAAGUCGGAAUCGCUAGUAAUCGUAGAUCAGAAUGCUACGGUGAAUACGUUCCCGGGCCUUGUACACACCGCCCGUCACACCAUGGGAG
rnacentral:rRNA from 1 species